rnacentral:rRNA from 1 species
UACGUAGGGGGCAAGCGUUGUCCGGAUUUAUUGGGCGUAAAGAGCUCGUAGGCGGUUUGUCGCGUCGACUGUGAAAACUGGGGGCUUAACUCUCAGCUUGCAGUUGAUACGGGCAGACUUGAGUUCGGUAGGGGAGACUGGAAUUCCUGGUGUAGCGGUGAAAUGCGCAGAUAUCAGGAGGAACACCGGUGGCGAAGGCGGGUCUCUGGGCCGAUACUGACGCUGAGGAGCGAAAGCGUGGGGAGCGAACAGG